rnacentral:rRNA from 1 species
AAAAAAGGUAAGCUACUAAGAGCGAAUGGUGGAUGCCUUGACUGGUAAAGGCGAUGAAGGACGUACUAGACUGCGAUAAGCUACGGGGAGCUGUCAAGAAGCUUUGAUCCGUAGAUUUCCGAAUGGGGCAACCCAAUGUAUAGAGAUAUACAUUACCUAUAUAGGAGCGAACGAGGGGAAUUGAAACAUCUUAGUACCCUCAGGAAAAGAAAUCAAUAGAGAUUGCGUCAGUAGCGGCGAGCGAAAGCGCAAGAGGGCAAACCCAGUGCUUGCACUGGGGGUUGUAGGACUGCAAUGUGCAAGAGGUGAGUUUAGCAGAACAUUCUGGAAAGUAUAGCCAUAGAGGGUGAUAGUCCCGUAUGCGAAAAACAAACCUUAGCUAGCAGUAUCCUGAGUAGGGCGGGACACGAGAAAUCCUGUCUGAAGCUGGGUCGACCACGAUCCAACCCUAAAUACUAAUACCAGAUCGAUAGUGCACAAGUACCGUGAGGGAAAGGUGAAAAGAACUGAGGUGAUCAGAGUGAAAUAGAACCUGAAACCAUUUGCUUACAAUCAUUCAGAGCCCUAUGUAGCAAUACAGGGUGAUGGACUGCCUUUUGCAUAAUGAGCCUGCGAGUUGUGGUGUCUGGCAAGGUUAAGCAAACGCGAAGCCGUAGCGAAAGCGAGUCUGAAUAGGGCGCUUAGUCAGAUGCUGCAGACCCGAAACGAAGUGAUCUAUCCAUGAGCAAGUUGAAGCUAGUGUAAGAACUAGUGGAGGACUGAACCCAUAGGCGUUGAAAAGCCCCGGGAUGACUUGUGGAUAGGGGUGAAAGGCCAAUCAAACUUCGUGAUAGCUGGUUCUCUCCGAAAUAUAUUUAGGUAUAGCGUUGUGUCGUAAUAUAAGGGGGUAGAGCACUGAAUGGGCUAGGGCAUACACCAAUGUACCAAACCCUAUCAAACUCCGAAUACCUUAUAUGUAAUCACAGCAGUCAGGCGGCGAGUGAUAAAAUCCGUCGUCAAGAGGGAAACAACCCAGACUACCAGCUAAGGUCCCUAAAUCUUACUUAAGUGGAAAACGAUGUGAAGUUACUUAAACAACCAGGAGGUUGGCUUAGAAGCAGCCAUCCUUUAAAGAAAGCGUAAUAGCUCACUGGUCUAGUGAUUUUGCGCGGAAAAUAUAACGGGGCUAAAGUAAGUACCGAAGCUGUAGACUUGCGCACAACUUAGAUUAUUUAAGUUUAGAAUAUGAGAAACUAAGUUAUAUGUUUAGUUAUAUUUUUACUGAUUUUUAUAGAGUAAAGAUAGAAAUAAAACUUAGUAAAAUCAGUAAAAAUAUUCUUAGACUAAAGUUAAGUAGUUUAAGUUGUGUGCAAGUGGUAGGAGAGCGUUCUAUUUGCGUCGAAGGUAUACCGGUAAGGAGUGCUGGAGCGAAUAGAAGUGAGCAUGCAGGCAUGAGUAGCGAUAAUUAAUGUGAGAAUCAUUAACGCCGUAAACCCAAGGUUUCCUACGCGAUGCUCGUCAUCGUAGGGUUAGUCGGGUCCUAAGUCGAGUCCGAAAGGGGUAGACGAUGGCAAAUUGGUUAAUAUUCCAAUACCAACAUUAGUGUGCGAUGGAAGGACGCUUAGGGCUAAGGGGGCUAGCGGAUGGAAGUGCUAGUCUAAGGUCGUAGGAGGUUAUACAGGCAAAUCCGUAUAACAAUACUCCGAGAACUGAAAGGCUUUUUGAAGUCUUCGGAUGGAUAGAAGAACCCCUGAUGCCGUCGAGCCAAGAAAAGUUUCUAAGUUUAGCUAAUGUUGCCCGUACCGUAAACCGACACAGGUGGGUGGGAUGAGUAUUCUAAGGCGCGUGGAAGAACUCUCUUUAAGGAACUCUGCAAAAUAGCACCGUAUCUUCGGUAUAAGGUGUGGUUCGCUUCGUAUUAGGAUUUACUCCGAAAGCGAAGAAACUUACAACAAAGAGUCCCUCCCGACUGUUUACCAAAAACACAGCACUCUGCUAACUCGUAAGAGGAUGUAUAGGGUGUGACGCCUGCCCGGUGCUCGAAGGUUAAUUGAUGGGGUUAGCAUUAGCGAAGCUCUUGAUCGAAGCCCGAGUAAACGGCGGCCGUAACUAUAACGGUCCUAAGGUAGCGAAAUUCCUUGUCGGUUAAAUACCGACCUGCAUGAAUGGCGUAACGAGAUGGGAGCUGUCUCAAAGAGGGAUCCAGUGAAAUUGUAGUGGAGGUGAAAAUUCCUCCUACCCGCGGCAAGACGGAGAGACCCCGUGGACCUU